rnacentral:rRNA from 1 species
GCGCGAAACCUCCACAAUAUACGGAAGUAUGAUGGGGUUACCUCGAGUGCAGUCCGAUAAGGGUUGCUUUUCCAUAGAGUAAUAUCCUGUGGGAAUAAGAGGGGGGCAAGACUGGUGUCAGCCGCCGCGGUAACACCAGCCCCUCGAGUGGUGGGGACUAUUAUUUGGCCUAAAGCGUCCGUAGCCGGCUGUGUCCGUUAUCCGUUAAAUCCGGCGUCCUAAGCGUCGGGCUGCGGGUGAUACCACACAGCUAGAGGGUGGGAUAGGUAAGCGGUAUUUCUGGGGUAGGGGCGAAAUCCUUUGAUCCCAGGAGGACCACCAGUGGCGAAGGCUGCUUACUAGAACACGCCUGACGGUCAGGGACGAAAGCUGGGGUAGCGAACCGGAUUAGAUACCCGGGUAGUCCCAGCUGUAAACGAUGCGCGCUAGGUGUUGGGUCGGCCACGCGCCGCCCCAGUGCCGCAGGGAAGCCGUUAAGCGCGCCGCCUGGGGAGUACGGCCGCAAGGCUGAAACUUAAAGGAAUUGGCGGGGGAGCGACCACC